rnacentral:pre_miRNA from 1 species
UGGACAGAUUACUGUAUUCGACGGCGUGAAACAGGGGAUUACACUGUUUUUAAACGGGAAGUGUAUCAAUUAACAUAAAAAACUCCU